AGUUAAAAAAUUUAUUUUGAAAAUAAAUUAAACAAUUAGUAUUAACUU
rnacentral:tRNA from 1 species